CCUACGGGGGGCUGCAGUGAGGAAUAUUGGUCAAUGGGCGUAAGCCUGAACCAGCCAAGUAGCGUGAGGGAUGAAUGUCCUAUGGAUCGUAAACCUCUUUUAUAAGGGAAUAAAGUGCGGGACGUGUCCCGUUUUGCAUGUACCUUAUGAAUAAGGAUCGGCUAACUCCGUGCCAGCAGCCGCGGUAAUACGGAGGGUCCGAGCGUUAUCCGGAUUUAUUGGGUUUAAAGGGUGCGUAGGCGGCCUUUUAAGUCAGCGGUGAAAGUCUGUGGCUCAACCAUAGAAUUGCCGUUGAAACUGGGAAGCUUGAGUAUGUUUGAGGCAGGCGGAAUGCGUGGUGUAGCGGUGAAAGGCUUAGAUAUCACGCAGAACCCCGAUUGCGAAGGCAGCCUGCCAAGCCAUGACUGACGCUGAUGCACGAAAGCGUGGGGAUCAAACAGGAUUAGAUACCCUUGUAGUC
rnacentral:rRNA from 1 species